rnacentral:rRNA from 1 species
UGGGGAAUAUUGGACAAUGGGCGAAAGCCUGAUCCAGCCAUGCCGCGUGUGUGAAGAAGGUCUUCGGAUUGUAAAGCACUUUAAGUUUGGGAGGAAGGGCAGUAAGCUAAUACCUUGCUGUUUUGACGUUACCGACAGAAUAAGCACCGGCUAACUCUGUGCCGG